CUCUCCCAGCCUCUGGGCCGCUGGGUGAUGCCCUGGGCCACGUUGCGCCCCUAGUGACGGCCCGCAAGGGAGGGCGGGCUCCUGAGGGCAGGGCUGCGAAGGCCACGUGGGCUGACCCCCGAGGAGAAGUGGGGGAGCCUCGGGAAGAUGGGGUGGCGGCAGCAAGGAGGGGGCUCACGCAGAAGGCCAGCAGCUCUGAGGAAGGGGCUUGUCCAAGCGAGAGUGUGAGGCCUUGUGGCAGCAGCAGGGGCCUCGGAGCCCAGGCGGGGGCUCGGACGGUGCAGACACGCAGCUGCCGAGAGCCCAGGUCGGGAGGCGGCGGCCCCAGGCCCCUGCUGGGAGUUGGGACCCUGACCCCAGCCCCUCAGGCUAUUCCCUCCACUGGCCCCUCAGUGCCAGGGGCUGCGGCAGGUACCCAGUGCCCAGACACCAGGGGGGCCACCUCUCCCUUGGCAUCCAGUCCUGGGCACGCGUCAGGGGCCAGAUCAGCAGAGCCACCCCCUGCCCAAGGCCACAAAGGGAAGGUGAGUCACCUGUCCCCGUGCCAAGACUGUCCCUGGCCAGCACGACCCCAGUCUCUGCCCAGGUCCGGCCUGUCUAGCGCUGGGACAGGCCAAGGCUGGGGUCCUGCGCUCUGGCUGCAGCCUGAGAACCCGGGGCCCCAAGCCAGGCUGAUUGGGGAGCAGCCGGUUAGCUGCCCCACACACUGUCCCAGGACUGUCACUGUGGCAACCAGCAUGGUGACAAUGACUGUUGAUCAUGUCAUACCACCCCAGGGGUGUGGUCACCCCAUGGUCACCGAAUGCCACACCACAAUCAUUGCACAGUCCCUGUCCCCAUCCCAUCCCUGUGUCCCUGUCCCCGUGCCCCCAUCCCCAUGUCCUGUCCUUGUCCCGUGCCCCGCUCCUUGUGGUCCUGCGUUCCCACAUCCCCGUGUCCCUCUGUCCCUAUACCCGUGUCCCCAUCCCUGUGUCUCUGUCCCUCUUUCCCUGUGUCCCUCAUGUCCCCGUGUCCCUAGCCCUAUUUGCCCACCAUUGUUUCCCUGGCCCCGUCCCUGUGGCCCCAUCCCCUGUCCCCGCCCCUGGGUCCCUGGGACCCCAUGUCCCCGUCCCUGUGUCCCCACGUCCCCGUGUCGUGUCCCUACUUGCCCAUCAUCGUGCCCCUGUCCCCGUCCCUGUGUCCCUAUCCCAUGUCCCAGUCCCUGUGUCCCUGUGCCAUGUCCCUCUCCGUGUGUCCCUGUGCCAUGUCCCUCUCCCUGUGUCCCCCUUUCCCCAUCCUGUGUCUAUGCCCCCAAGCUCCCAUGUCCCCGUCUCCCCGUGUCCCUGUUCCUGUGUCCCGGGACCCGCACCCAGGGCUGCCUGUCUUGCGUUGAGUAGAGAGCUGCCCUCGCAGGGUCUCCAUGGCCUCUGCAGGGUAGAAGCCAGGACAGGACAGAAGGGCUCACGGCUCCUUCCCCCUGCAUGGCCGCCUCGCCCCAGGCAGGCCCUCCUCUCAUCCUCUCCUCUCAGCUCGGCUGCCUGACCCUCAUACCCCAGCUGCAGACCCAGCAUAUCCUUCGCUCCAAACCCUCCCAGCAACACCGGGAAGGCCCAGAAGGUGAUUCCGAUUCUGACUGUCCUGCCACACCUGGUGGCCCUGAGCUUGCGGGAAACGUCAAACGGACCGGCCUCUGCGUAUCUAUCGACCCGUGCUGCCUCGUCUCUGACGCUCCCUGUACCUGACCACCGUUCUCUGGGUGCUCUCUUCCUGACGAGCGUCGCCCACCACCUCGUCCCUCCGCCUCGUGUCAUCCUGCCUCCGGUCCUUGGAGUCUUUGUCGGGGGCUCUAAUCUGCAGGUUGGGCGGCCCCCGUCGGAAAUGCCUCUGAGGCUUCUAGAUCAAAACAAGAGCCACUCGUGAAAACAGUUCAACGGCCCAGGAGCUGCCACUCUGUUUCCACCUGGGAUGCUCUCCCUAUCAGACCCAACCCCACGGACCGCGUGGAAUGGCUGGUGGCGCACGGCCCCCGGAGCACGUGCCUUCCCGCUCCCACGGCAACAUGCAGAUUUGGCCAGAAGAUCCUUUCUCACGAUCUCCGGGCCCUGACCAACCGGGACGGAGACUGUGCCAGCGGGCCGGCGCAGCCCUGGACAGUGGGUUAGAAUCCUGGCCCGGGAGGGUUCCAGGCCGUCACAGACCCUAAAGAUAGCAAUAAAGGGUCAGAGCCACGUCCCCGUGGACGGAGGCACAAAGAACACUGUCCCGGGCCUGUGCCCCAGGACUCCCACCCUUCGUCCUCAGAACCGGGUGGCCGGGGCACCGGGUCCAGGGACGGAGCGCAGGGGCCCAGGCGUAGCCCGUCGUCAGCAGAGGGCAGGAGGAGGCCCCUCCUCCGCAGGACACAGCAAGGAGGCCGACUCAGGGAUCGAAAACAUCUCUGCCGCUCGCUACCCACAGGACCCGUGAAGAGGUCCUCGUUGUAAAGACACAAGUGCCACGGAACCGGGACGCCCGUGGCCAAGAGAACGGGAUCUGGCCGCACACAAAGCACCGGGGCUGACCCAGGCCUGGGGCACAAGUGCCGGAGUCUGAGCAGCAGAAAAGGUCCCAGCGGCCCCGCCACAAGGGGCCCCGCCCCGCGCCCCAAGGCCCGGACCCGGGGAGCCGUGCACACCGACCCCGGCCGCCACCACAGACGGGAGCACGGGCCUCCCGAGCAACGGAAACGUGUCUUUCGGCGGGCAGCCGUGCAGGCGGGCUCUGCUCCCAUCGCCGUCACGAGAGCCCAGGUGCACGAGAGCGGCCAAGAGGAGCGAGAGACGUGCGUGUCGGCUCCACGAGGGAGGACGUGAGCUGUUUGACACACAGCCUCCGAGUAAGACGGUUUGCAGAGAGGCCUCCUGGCCGCUCCCCGAGGGGCCCGACCCCGGCCCCCUUCCCCGCCCACGCCCUCUGAAACUGCAGCUCCCUGAACAAGCCCAGCUCUCCCUGCCUCGGGCAACGUCACUGGACUCAAGCCCUGCUCUCCCGACUCUACCCAGGACCAGCGGCUCCCCGGUCUCACACCGCAGUUCAGCGUCCCGUCCCCAGCCUCAUCCCUGGAGGCGACUGCUAUUUUCCUCCCGGGAUGGACACCACGGGCCACCGGCCUGCUCCCGCCGGCCUGCAGCUCCUCCAGACAAGGGGCGGGUCUGUUUCGCUCACCAGCAGGUGUCCAAGGGGAAGGAAGGAGAGAAUAUUCCUCCUCCUUGCCCCAGGCGUCAUCCUACUGGCUCAGAAUAAGGGGCGCAGGGCGCGAACAUCAGACAAACAACAAGGGAAAGAACUGCUCCCCCGUCCGCGUGGACCAUCACGCGCGGUUCUGAAACGCCCGUGGGACCGACCCCGGCCGCAACCCCACGUGUAGUUCACUGAACAUACCUGGGGUAAAAGCCCCGGCGAGUUUUCCGGAUUAGCAUCUGCCUUCCGAGGAGCCGGCAAGACGGGCGGAUCUGCCGGUCUCACCUUCCGCUCUUCCGCCGACCUGCCAUCCACGGCUAAACGAGAGAACAGGUUUUAUCCCAAACGUGCCGCACAGCCCCAAGGAGAGCCCGAGCGAGCGCGUGGAGGAGCACGUCUAGGCGGGCACUCCUCACCACGAGAGGACACCGUGAGACCUGGGGAAGGUCCUUUAAACCAACUCAAGAACGGCCAAGGGUAACCAACCCUUCCUCACAGCACUUGGCAGCUUCCGUCCUGCAGCCCAGCCCACACGGACCUCCCCUCAGCGGCUUCCCUUCCAGGAAGCGCAGAAGCUGGCCUAUGUGCAGCUGUCUCCAGCCACCUGCAGCAGCUCCUGAGCUUUCCUCCCCCACAGGGGUUCCCUACGCCCUCACCCAGACUGCCCGGGGCCGCUCGGAACACACGGUAACACGUGUGAGGAAGUUCAGGGAGCGUGUCUGGACGGGGCACGCGACCUCAGGACCCGAACGUCUCCCCCGUGAGGCACAGAGAACGGAGAGGCCGGCCCUUACACCGGACACCCAGGAAGCAGUCGGGCAACGUCACAUUAACUCGAGCCACGUUCUAGCAGGCUGGCUACAGACACUCUCCGCUCCUUUUCAUCUGCGCUUCUGGCCAAUUCGCAGACGCUCCAGGCGCUUAAAGCGCACGGCCAGACCGCUUUUGCCCAGCCACCCGCAGUCAGUGACGCACACGCAUGGGGUUGAGGCACACGCGCAGCCGGUACCUCUCCACUGGUCAGCCACGCUGAUGUAGGACAGGAGCCCGCAGAGCACGAGAAACGUGAGGAAGAAAAGGAUCACGUUGCGCUGUAAUCUCGACAGCUGCUUCCAUUUCUACGGGACGGAAAACAACACAGCUGGGACCCGUGCAACCGUUGCAAAUUCAGGGAGGACAGUGGGUAAGUCCCAAGGUCCGGUUUCUGAACCGGGGGAAGCGCCCCGGCGGCAGAGACUGACGAGCCGCGGGGAUAUUCCAGACGGUAUAGGGGAACGGAAAUAAACAACAGACGCAGAA